UACGGAGGGGGCUAGCGUUGUUCGGAAUUACUGGGCGUAAAGCGCACGUAGGCGGAUCGUUAAGUCGGGGGUGAAAUCCUGGAGCUCAACUCCAGAACUGCCUUCGAUACUGGCGAUCUCGAGUCCGGAAGAGGUGAGUGGAACUCCUAGUGUAGAGGUGGAAUUCGUAGAUAUUAGGAAGAACACCAGUGGCGAAGGCGGCUCACUGGUCCGGUACUGACGCUGAGGUGCGAAAGCGUGGGGAGCAAACAGG
rnacentral:rRNA from 1 species